CUACGAGGCCGUUUUGCAUAUUUGAAAAAACUUGAAGUUACAAGUAUGCGUGUAUAUGCUGCAUGUGCACAGAUGCCCCAACGCGAGGGAAGGACCAUUAAACCCAAAACGCGCGUGCCCGUGUGUUCGCACAGACGUGUGCUUCGGCGCCUGCACACGGCCGGCGCGCAGGCACGCAGACGCCUACACGAAUACAUAGGCAUGUGUUACUGACGCAUCUGGGGCACUUUCUUUCAAAGAAAGUAGGGAAUGAAAAUCCAAUCUGAGAGUCAUCAGAGUUCAUCUGGAGGUCGCCCAAGGGGCACGCGAUUCCGUCGCCACCUCUCGGACCAGCAGCCCACGUCCAACGCUGGGCCGACCUCAGAUUCCCAGGCAGUCAGGAUUCCCGCCCGGUGCGCUUUUCUAUUCAUCCCUCUGCGUAAGGCUGGGACGCGCUCCAUCUCGGCGGGAGACGUCGCGCAACCGCUGAGCCCUGUCCGCGGAGACUAAACAAGGAGAGGAACAGGCUGUAAACACACAUCCUGACACACAAGCAGACCCGGCGCAUAAUGAGGUAGCAGCCUCCAGCCGGCCACCGUGACUAACUCAGAACAAAAGCGCUGACUCCACGCCUCCUCCAACAAAGGGGCCACCAGCCCCGGCGCUCCCCGAAGGCUGCGGGGCUCCCGGCUGCCGGCUGCGGAGCUGCCGCGCGCAAACUUCCCGGAGCUCCCGGGGCUGCCGGCGCCAAGGAGCCGGGGCCGCGGAGGGAGGAAUCGCAAGCCACCCGGAGAAAGCAGGGAUGUUGCUCUUGGAGAAUGUGAAGACAGUUUGCUUCUUGACAAGCGAGCGAGCGGGCGCCCAGAUUUUUGCAGCCUUUCCGAGUCUCCCCCGAGGGAGAGGCGGCAGAGAAAACGCCGGAUUUGGGAGCCGCCAGGGAAGGAUUCCGCGCAGGGGAGCCGCCCUCCUUGGCCCCAGACCCCCCUGCCUGGGGCCCCCUUUGCGCAUUGCCAGUGUAUGGCCUGAAGCUCUGAGGAUGGUGCUGGGGACUGGGGAAGACUCUUGAAUAAUAACUGCAAAGAAGAAAGAGGCGAGAAUGUCCCCCGCCCCACCUUGAAGCAGAAAGGACUGUGUUCUUAAAGCUGUUGGCUGCAGUCACAGGGCCAGUUGCCCGCCUCUAUUCCCUGAGUAAAGUGUAGCAUCUUCUGUCUUCCUGGCUUGCUUGCACCUUUCAGCAAAUUAUACCCUUUCCUCACCACAGUGGGAAUGCUCAGGGAAGUGUGUGUGUGUGUGUGUGUGUGUGUGUGUGUGUGUGUGUGUGUGUGUGUGUUUCCCCUCUACACUGAGCCUGCUGUUAGAGAGGUUACCAUGUAACACUUCCAAAAACCUGGAGGUUUACAUUUUGUAAAGGAAAGGGACACUCCUGGUCUGUCUCAACCCCAAUUCUAGUCAGAGUGGCAGGGACUGAACAAAGCCACCAACAUGGGGAAGUCCAUCUUCAGGGUAUCAUGCAUUCCCCCAGGAAACCCCCAGUGUGUAUGCUUCCUGCACUUUCCCCUUCUCUCUAACCUCUGUCUCCUGUUUGUAAGGCAGAGGAAGGGUGAUUCCCUGCCACUGCACAGGAAUGCGGGGUUACGGUUAUCUCCAAGAAAGGGUGGGGUGAGGCUGAGACACAGGGAGAGCAGAAAAGCUCUGUAUCUUCAACGAGGACACCCCCCCACCACCACCACCUUUCCCAGGCUUGUGGGCCUCAUUCAGCAAAGCAGGGAGUGUUUUAUAUUGGUGUGAGAGGCUGUCAGUCAGCAGCAAAUCAGUUCAGGCAUAUCUCUUUCUUUCUGAAAUCAACUCAUUGCCUUGGUCACACUAUACAGAAAAUCUGCUUAUCACCGCUAUCGACAAUAAAAAUUAGUGGAGUCUUA